GGUUCUAUAGUGUAGUGGUUAGCACGUCUGCUUUACAUGUAGAAGGCCCUGGGUUCACGCCCCAGUGGAGCCA
rfam:Pteropus alecto contig166180, whole genome shotgun sequence.